rnacentral:rRNA from 1 species
ACGCUCGACACCUAUGAGGCAGCAGUGGGGAAUAUUGCACAAUGGGGGAAACCCUGAUGCAGCGACGCCGCGUGAGUGAAGAAGUAUUUCGGUAUGUAAAGCUCUAUCAGCAGGGAAGAAGAUGACGGUACCUGAGUAAGAAGCCCCGGCUAACUACGUGCCAGCAGCCGCGGUAAUCUGAGCGGGCUGGCAAGGC